rnacentral:rRNA from 1 species
GACGAACGCUGGCGGCGUGCUUAACACAUGCAAGUCGAGCGGUAAGGCCCUUUCGGGGGUACACGAGCGGCGAACGGGUGAGUAACACGUGAGUAAUCUGCCCUUCACUUCGGGAUAAGCACCGGAAACGGUGUCUAAUACUGGAUAUGAGCAUCCUGCGCAUGUGGGGUGUUGGAAAGUUUUUUCGGUGGGGAUGUGCUCGCGGCCUAUCAGCUUGUUGGUGAGGUAAUGGCUCACCAAGGCUUCGACGGGUAGCCGGCCUGAGAGGGUGACCGGUCACACUGGGACUGAGACACGGCCCAGACUCCUACGGGAGGCAGCAGUGGGGAAUAUUGGACAAUGGGCGGAAGCCUGAUCCAGCAACGCCGCGUUGAGGGAUGACGGCCUUC